rnacentral:lncRNA from 1 species
ANGAAAAUAAAAAUCUUACAAAAUAUGAUGAUAUGACAUUAAAAUUUUAGAUCAAAGUUAUUGAUCUUGUUUUAUAUGGUGUAAAGAAUUUUCUAUCAAAAUUUAAUGUAAUUUGGAUAUUUCUACACCGUUAAACUUGCAACCGGCUCACCACGGCCAUUAAAAUUAUUGAUUUUGAACCCCUUGGAUUAAUAGAUGUUAAUGCCGCGUUAACAGAUGAGUUUUUAAAAACUUUUUAAUAU